rnacentral:rRNA from 1 species
GACGAACGCUGGCGGCGUGCUUAACACAUGCAAGUCGAGCGGUAAGGCCCUUUCGGGGGUACACGAGCGGCGAACGGGUGAGUAACACGUGGGUGACCUGCCCUCAGCUCUGGGAUAAGCCUGGGAAACCGGGUCUAAUACCGGAUAUGACUCCAUGACGCAUGUUGUGGGGUGGAAAGCCUUGUGCGGCUGAGGAUGGGCCCGCGGCCCAUCAGCUUGUUGGUGGGGUGAUGGCCUACCAAGGCGACGACGGGUAGCCGGCCUGAGAGGGCGACCGGCCACACUGGGACUGAGACACGGCCCAGACUCCCACGGGAGGCAGCAGUGGGGAAUCUUGCGCAAUGGGCGAAAGCCUGACGCAGCGACGCCGCGUGAGGGAUGACGGCCU